CUUACCUCUCAUGAACUGUGUCACCUUCUGAGGUGAGAAUAUAUGGGUGUGGUUUCCUUCCUGACACAAAAGGGCAGGGGAGAGAGACAAUCCUUGCCUACAGCAAAGAAGGAACAGGACUCCUGAUGUGACCUGGUUGAACAUGGUGAGAAAGACCCCUGUGGGACAUCCUUUUCCCAGGAUCUAUUGAAAAUUAAGAAUCAAUUAUGGAUUUUGAGUGUCAGAGAAAGUUUUCUUUCUCCCUGUCACAUGCUUUAGAUUUAUGAAAGGGCCCAGGAGAGAUCAUUGCCAGCACUUGUUAACAUGGAGCUACCACAGGAGUCUGAAGUACCUAAAGGGGAUGGGUUUGUUCGGAGGAAUUUUUCUGUCAAUUCUAAUGGGUGUGGGAUGAUUUUCUUCUCCAAGUUUGCUGCUGGGAGGGAGUCCAACAGCCUGGCCAUCAAUCUCCAGAGAUUGCCCUGGACACACUGACUACAUCUUCAUGUCUCUGUUGCUGUAUUGAUGCUUCCUACUGAACUCAGAGAAAGUCUAUGUCUUUGCCAAAGAUUUUCACUUUCCCCCUCAGAUCCUCUGCCCACUACUGCAGGCAGCCUGGACUUCAUCUCCUUGGUUUCCCUCCAGUCACAGAAGACAUUUUGUUUGUUCAAAGUCAGUCCACCCCACCCACCCCAUUGAUUCUUUCCACCCAGCUGCAUCCACCAGGGGAUUUGCAUGUUGCUCCCUGGGGAGGGCCUUCCUGAAAAGUUAACAUAAAGCUCAGCUCUAACCUGGCCUUGACUCACCAGGACUCCUCAGCUCAGCUUCUCAAAAUGAGGCUCCCUGCUCAGCUCCAGGGACUGCUGCUGCUCUGGAUCCCAGGUGAGGACAGAGGAAAUAAGGAGGGAGAAGAGGGAG
rnacentral:lncRNA from 1 species